GUAACAAGGUUUCCGUAGGUGAACCUGCGGAAGGAUCAUUACCGAGUGUAGGGUUCCUAGCGAGCCCAACCUCCCACCCGUGUUUACUGUACCUUAGUUGCUUCGGCGGGCCCGCCAUUCAUGGCCGCCGGGGGCUCUCAGCCCCGGGCCCGCGCCCGCCGGAGACACCACGAACUCUGUCUGAUCUAGUGAAGUCUGAGUUGAUUGUAUCGCAAUCAGUUAAAACUUUCAACAAUGGAUCUCUUGGUUCCGGCAUCGAUGAAGAACGCAGCGAAAUGCGAUAACUAGUGUGAAUUGCAGAAUUCCGUGAAUCAUCGAGUCUUUGAACGCACAUUGCGCCCCCUGGUAUUCCGGGGGGCAUGCCUGUCCGAGCGUCAUUGCUGCCCAUCAAGCACGGCUUGUGUGUUGGGUCGUCGUCCCCUCUCCGGGGGGGACGGGCCCCAAAGGCAGCGGCGGCACCGCGUCCGAUCCUCGAGCGUAUGGGGCUUUGUCACCCGCUCUGUAGGCCCGGCCGGCGCUUGCCGAACGCAAAUCAAUCUUUUUCCAGGUUGACCUCGGAUCAGGUAGGGAUACCCGCUGAACUUAAGCAUAUC
rnacentral:misc_RNA from 1 species